rnacentral:rRNA from 1 species
GAUGAACGCUGGCGGCGUGCCUAACACAUGCAAGUCGAACGGUUGAGUACUUGACUUUUAGUUACUUAUAAAAAAAUGAUAAGUGAUUAAAAGUUGAGUACUCGAUAGUGGCGGACGGGUGAGUAACGCGUAAGUAAUCAACCUGUGACACACGGAUAACUGAUAGAAAUGUCAGCUAAUACGAGAUGAACUGUUUUAAUUGGGAAAUGGAAACAGCAAAGCGAAAGCGGUCACAGACGAGCUUGCGUCUGAUUAGCUAGUUGGUGGGGUAAGAGCCUACCAAGGCGACGAUCAGUAGCCGGCCUGAGAGGGUGAACGGCCACAUUGGAACUGAGACACGGUCCAAACUCCUACGGGAGGCAGCAGUGGGGGAUAUUGCACAAUGGGGGGAACCCUGAUGCAGCAACGCCGCGUGAGUGAAGAAGGCCUUAGGGUCGUAAAGCUCUGUCGUAUGGGAAGAAACAAAUGACUGUACCAUACAAGAAAGCCCCGGCUAACUACGUGCCAGCAGCCGCGGUAAUACGUAGGGGGCAAGCGUUAUCCGGAAUUACUGGGCGUAAAGGGUGCGUAGGCGGCUAGUUAAGUCGAGGUUAAAAGGCAGUAGCUCAACUACUGUUGGGCCUUGAAACUAAUUAGCUUGAGUAUAGGAGAGGAAAGUGGAAUUCCCGGUGUAGCGGUGAAAUGCGUAGAUAUCGGGAGGAAUACCGGUGGCGAAGGCGACUUUCUGGACUAUAACUGACGCUGAGGCACGAAAGCGUGGGUAGCAAACAGG